rnacentral:sRNA from 1 species
AUCCUCGGCUGGGGAGAUGGUUACUACAAAGGAGAGGAAGAUAAAGAGAAGAAGAAGAACAACACCAACACGGCGGAGCAAGAGCAUCGGAAAAGAGUAAUACGUGAGCUUAACUCGUUAA